GGGGAAUCUUGCGCAAUGGGGGAAACCCUGACGCAGCGACGCCGCGUGGGUGAUGAAGGCCCUCGGGUUGUAAAGCCCUGUGGGGAGAGACGAAUAAGUUUGGUCGAAUAGGCCGAAUGAUGCCGGUAUCUCCUUAGCAAGCACCGGCUAACUCUGUGCCAGCAGCCGCGGUAAGACAGAGGGUGCAAACGUUGUUCGGAAUUACUGGGCGUAAAGCGCAUGUAGGCGGCCAAGCAGGUCGGAUGUGAAAUCCCUCGGCUCAACCAAGGAAGUGCAUUCGAAACCGCAUGGCUGGAGUCCCGGAGAGGGUAGUGGAAUUCUCGGUGUAGAGGUGAAAUUCGUAGAUAUCGAGAGGAACACCGGCGGCGAAAGCGGCUACCUGGACGAGGACUGACGCUGAGAUGCGAAAGCGUGGGGAGCAAAC
rnacentral:rRNA from 1 species